CUCCGGCCCCUCUUCAUCUCUAGGUGGUGGCGGCUGUGGGUUUUUCUACUGGCGAUCCUUUUGAGUAAUUUGUUUCACGCACGCGCCCUGCUGUGGGGUAAAGCGGCAGAUUUAUGCCGCUGUCAUUUGUCCGUUAACACGAUGGACUUCCUGUCGUGUGUGUGUACUUUUUGGAUUUGAGGGCAGAUGACAUUGUGACUUGGCCUCAUGUGAGCGUCCAUUCUCCAGGCCUGAGAACUGGGAGGAAGCUGGAGAAAAGAUGCCCUCUGAAUCUUUCUGUUUGGCUGCCCAGGCUCGACUUGACUCCAAAUGGUUGCAAACAGAUAUACAGAUGAUAGUGUUGAACAAAGUGGAACAAAGAAAGAAGAUCUGGAUGACAGAAAAAAGAUGAAGAAGAAACUCCUACACCUGUAUAUAGCGCCAAGUGAAUUCUGGACAGCUGGGUAUGGGGCAAGCAACCAGCAACCACUUUUCAAAAAGAAGAAAGAUGAGAGCAAGAUUAAGAGAAGGACGAGGAGGAGAAAGAAGGAAGCAUGUUUAUUUUCUGCAAUCUAUAAAAGCACACAGUUCAUCCAGAAAUUGCAGAAUUGCAGAGGAUUAGAUAGACAUCAUUCUGAAAGUCUUCCUUAUAGGUGUAUUUUAUUCAGUGUUUGGGUCUAGUUAUUAAAAGGGACUUUAUUUCCACCCCACCUUCUUCUAGAGAGUAUUUCAGGAUUCAACUAAGGGGUGGGGCAAAGGGAAGUGAACACAUGCUUUUAUGAGCUUUCUAAAACAUCUGCUAGAUAUACAGUGAUCCAUUUGCACUUAAUGUGAAAUACUGGCCUUAAUUCACAAUUGGGAUGAGGAGAGAGAAGAAAAGCACAAUUGAGGUAGUCACCUAUUAUUUAUCAUGCUAUCAAGCCCUGUAAUUAAAUAAAAUCAUGGAGACUGAAGAUAGAGAAAUAAUACACUUCUAGUAAACAAGUACAGUGUGACACAGAAAGAGGGGACAAACUAUAGUUGUUCUGAGUUAGAACAUGAGUCCAAAAUGUUGAGUUUUGUGUACUAGAUGUAAUAAUUAUUUAAGAAUUGAAAGAAAACUCAUUUAUUUUGUACAAAGCUAGUGGUUUAAUACACACCAGAGUAUCAUGGUGAUUUCUGGGUGAAAUCCUCCUCUUACAGAAAAAUAUCUACCAAAUUAGAUAACCUUUUGCUUUUAGAUGGCUUUGACUGUUACAAAGCUCUGUUUUUAAUUUCUUUGAGACAGGGCCUCACUCUGUCACCCAAGCUGAAGUGCAGUGGCACAAUCAUGGCUCACUACAGCCUCACCCUCCCGGGCUCAAAUGAUUGAGUAGGUAGAAACACAGGCAUGUGGUACUACGCCUGGUUAAUUUUUAAAUUUUUUUUUUUUUUUUUUUUUUUUUGUAGCGAUGGAGUCUUACUACCUUGCAAAGGCUGGUCUCAAACUCCUGGACUCAAGUGGUCCCUCUUCCUUGCCCAGCGCAAAGCUCAUUUUUAAUGGUGAGAUAAACUUUUACCUUGCUAUAAUUACAUGACAAUCCUCUUAAGUUGCGCCUGAGGAUCUAGGAUGCAGGUGCCACUGGGGAUAAUUUGUAAUACGUCACUUUGCUAAAAAGGUGGAAAUACAUUUGUAUCUUCUGCUAAUAUAUAGGCUGCUUCAGGGUUCUACUUUCAGGUGUUUUUGAGAUUGUUGAUAUUAAGCGUCAUGGCUAUUUAGUUGCUAUAAAACUAAGAACACCAUUUAACUGGUUUGUGAUAUAGGUAAACACAUAUUUGAGGAAAAGUUUAAGAUCUUUUGUAUUUUAAUAAAAUAAAAUCAGCUUUGUCUGAAGAUUCAUUUGUCAUACUAAUGUAUGCAAAUAAAAUCAGAGUUUCAGUAGCCACUGUGCCUCUAACGGUUAUAUUCUUUUAAUUAGAAUCAAGCAAUUAAUUCUAAAAAUGUCUCUAUAUUUUUCUGAAAGCAUUGCCCUUCUUUACCAAAAGCUUUAUAUGUGUUCCCAUUUUAUGUUUUAACAUGUGAAAUAAUUAAAACGCAUGCUUUGCUUCUUAUUGGAAUUAAUUGACCCUCUUUUAGCAUAGGUGGAUUUAAUGUGGCUCUUUGGAAUCGUGUGGCGUGUGGCUUUCUAAUUCAUAUGCGCUUGUUGAUAUGUCAUGUUAGAAGACAUUGAGUUUUUGUUAUAUGUUGACACCUUAAAUCCCACACUGCUGAUUUACAUAACUAUGAAAUUAGCAACAGCCAACGUCCCUUCUAGCAUUAACUUAUAUUUUUGAAAUAGUUAAUAAAGAUAAUAAAAAUUUCAAAAUGUUACCCAAAAUUUUAGUUCUCCUACAUUAAUAAGUAGAAUUAAGCUAAAAUUCAAUUUCAAAUCAACACAACACUGAAUGCCUUCUGUUUGUAUUUUUUUCUUAUUUAAUUGAAAAUACUCAAAGUGUGGUUUAAAAUGACUGCUUUAACAUGUUGGGUUACUUAAUGCUAUUACUUCACUCCUUCCUUUUGUCUUUCAUGCUCGAAACAGUAUUAGAAACAUUACUCAUAAGUGAUUUUAAUCAUUGCUUUAGUCCUUCAGUUUUGUAUUCAGUCAAUAAACAGUUAUUGAGUACCUACGACGUGCUGAGCACUGGAAGAAUACUCCCCUAAGAAGCUACCAACUCACUCUCCUAUAGCAUGUUUGAAAUAGGAGCCAGGUUUCAGCUUUUGUCAAAGCCACUGCUUGCACCAAGUUAAGAUUUGCUUUAGUGUAGUGCUUCUCAAAUUUUAAUGUGCCCAGGAAUCAUCAGGAGAUUUAAUUAAUGUCAGAUUUAUAUUCAGUGGGUCUGCAGUGGGACCUGAGAUUUUGCAUUUCUCAUAAGCUCCGGGUUGAUGCAGAUGCUGUUGGCCUGGAGACCACAAUUUGAGGAGCAGGGCUUUAAAGAUGUGAUUUCUUUGAAUAGGUUUGUAUGUCCACCCAUACAAUGGAGGCAUUUGCUUUUGCGAAUAAAGAUUAAUUUUUAUAGAACCUACACACAUUAGUUUCAUAAUUAAGAAUUUAUCUUCUUUGCUUUUAUGGUAUUUAUCACAUUAUAAUAUCAUUAAUUGCAUGCGUCUCCUUUGCUAUAUUUAACUUUCUUGAAAACUGGCACUAAAUUCUAUUUACUUUUUGUUUCUAUCGUCUAUCAUAGUGUUUACUGAUCAAUAAAUCAUUGCUGAAUAUAUGCAGAAAUUGUUAACACUGUUGAUUCUUACAUUUAGUUCCCAUUUUCCUACUUGCUAAGGGUUAGAAAGAGUCUUUUGCUGACAUGUUGCUCUUAGGUUCAUUUUUCUACUUUGGUCUAAAUUCAGCUCACCUUUCCAAGGAGUGAAAUGUUCAAAGUUGAGCAAAAUCAGUGUCAGUUAUAAUGCGAGGUAAAGAGAUUGGCAAGAUUUUGAAAAAGGGGCAAAGGGAAACAUAAAGUCUUGUGUCCCAGGAAAGAUAACCUUGGAAAUGGAGGAAUUGUUAAAAUUUCCAAGUGUCUGGAGGGAAGUGACUGAAAUCAGACUGAAGUGAGUGGAAGUUGGGCCAAGUGUGGUGUGUACUAGAUGUAUUAGAGAGCAGUGUCCAGAGUCUUCUUGGAAAAUCAGACAAUGGAGAGAUCAUAAACCAUGCUGAAGGAGGUGACCUCCACCUUAUUUUCCAGUCCCUGAAUUACAGUGUUGCCAGUGAUAUGGUGGUCAGCAUGGUGUGAGCUAUAAAAACCAUGGAAAUAGAGGUAUAGGUUUCUACAAGACCCCUGAAUUUUCAGAGCUCCAGACACAUCCUCUCACCACCCCACCAAUAGCCCUCUUAACUUUCUUAUUAGAAUUUAUAACAGUAGUCCAGGAAUAAUUUCAGCUUCUUAGUAAGAAUGGUGGUAAUAGUGAUAAAUGUUUCUGCACUAUUUCAGUGAAUAGAUAGAAUUAUUGUAAUGUGGUAAAAGGUGUGUGUGUAUGUGUGUGUGUGUAUGCGUGUGUAAGUAUUUAGGAGCCAGAAAUAAAUGUAUUGUUUGUAAGGCACAGAAUGAAUUAAUUUAAGAAAAAUAUCAACUUGUCAGAAUUAUGGCUUUGCUCUUAUAGUCGUUUUUUUCUCUUGAAAAUGUCAUAACAAUGUUAGUAAUUAUACUUACUUAGAUCUUAUUAGGUACAAGUGUUUUUUCUUAGGGCAUUACAUAUAUUAACACAUUUUAUCCCUUUGUCAGAAAUACUAUUAUCACCAUUUUAUAGAUAAGGUAACAAAGGCACAGCUUGUUUGAGUAAUUUUCUUAAGGUACCAUAACAUUAAGUGGUGGAGCUGGGUUUUAAAACAAGGCAGCUUUGGUUCUAGGGUCCGUGCUUUUAAUUACUACACACCACUACCUACCACAUUAAUGAUUGUUUCUCAUGAACUUCAAGAGGGAGAAAUAUACAACUAAAGUUGACUUAUAUAAACAGAAUUGAGAAGAUAAUUUUAUUGUUAACAAGUAGGAGCUGAAAAGUUCAGGCUCACAGAAUUAGGAUUUAUACCUCUAGAAGACAUUCCAAGUGGUAAUACAUUCCAUUUUUGUGUGUGUAUCUAACAGUAUAUCCUGUAUGUCAAUUGAAAAACGGUUUGUUAAGAAAAGCCACAGCAAUGUGUAUCUAUAUUUAUAUAGGACAUUCCAUGAAGAUUCUCUUAACAUUCUUAAAGACAAUAUGAAAAAAUGAGUAGCCUGUCUUUUCCAUAACUAAUUGAACAGAUAUCUGAAGAGUAUUUAGUAAUAGAUGGAUGUAAACUUGAUGAAGAUCUCUAAAAUUUGGACCCCCCACUUGGCUUUCUUUUGUUCAGCAGUUCGAUCCAUGGUUAGAAUGGUGAAAGAAGAAAUGCUUAGCACUUUUGCAGGUAAUGCAAAGCCGGAAAGGGUGGCUAUUAGUUUAGAUGAUAGCUGCAUGCCUAAAAAAAAAAAGUCUUUGUAGAUUGGAACUAUGGGCUGAAACUAAUAAAAUGAAAUUUUACUGGGCUAUUGUAAAUUCUUGUUUAUUGCACAUUUACAGGAUAGGAAAAUCUAUGGCAAAAUUCCUGUGGUUUUAUUUGACUCCCUGCUCAAUAUGAGUCAAUAUGGUGUUAACAGAUGCUUAAAAAGUUAAUGCAUUCUUAAACUGCAUUAAUAGAGGCACAGAGUCAAGUUCAACGACGGCAAUAGUUUCACUAUAAUCUGAACUGCUCCGACCGUGUCUUGAAUAUUACAUUCGUUUCUGUAGGCUACAUUUUAAGAGUUGCUGAAAAGGUGGGUUACACCUAGAGGGUGACUGGAAUGUUGAAAAGAUUGGAAACCACGGUGUUUAAGAAAUUGGGCACAUCUAACCUGGAGAAGAAAAUAAUAAGAUCUUAUAAAAGUUCACAUUUUAAAAUGCUUUCUCUUUCUUGAAGAGAGAGGAUAAUUUGGUAUAAUUCUAGAGAAGUAGAUCCAAUAGGUUAGAAGUUAAAGUAUUAGGUAUAUUUUAAGUUAUGGACUGAGAAAAAGUAGAAAAAGACUAUUUGAAAUGGUACAUGGGGUAAUGCAGAGUAAGUGGCCAUUUCUACUUUUUGUUAUAAUAUAGUUUAUUUUAAAUAGUAGUUUGUAUGAAGAGCAUAAUAGUGCUGAACUUAAGGCUGCCAGACAAUUUGGAGAGCACUGACAGAAAGUAAAAGUUAUCUUCCCCCUUACAAUCUUUGUUCCAUCAGUCACCAGAUUGCUGACAUAAGCACUGUUAACAUCUUUUAUGAAUUUUCCUAGAAAUUGUCUGUAAAUAUAUGAGAUGGCAAAGACACAUGAACAAACAAAUGUAUAUACAUAUGUAAGUGUGCAAGUCAUUUUUAACACUAAAGGGAUACUGUACAUGGUUUUCUGGUACCUGCAUUUUGAACAUACCUUUUCAUAUCAAUGAAAUGAAAUCAGUCUUACUCAUAAAUUGUUUAGGAUUUCUCUACUACCUAGAACCACAUUAAUAUACAUUUAAGUGUUUUUAUUUUACAUCAGUUAUUAUAAGCUUGACUAUAGUAACCAUUCUUGUAUGUCUAUCAUUUAUUUACUUAGGCCUAAUUACUAGAAGUAAUGCUUCUAGGUAUAAAUGUUUUAAGAAUUUUGAUGAUAUAUUUUAUAAAGUUAAUAUCAAGAAAGAUUAUAGAUUGAGACUUCUCCCAAUGAUGUAUAAAUAAUUCCAACACCUCUACCUGACCAACACUGAGUUUUAUCAUUACUUUCAGUGAUUUCUAAUCUGAUAGGUAAAAUACAAUUUUCUGUUUUGAUUUCUAUAAGUGGCAAAUUUAAACUUAAUUUUGUUUAUUUAGUAUUUGUGUUAGUUCUUUCAUGAAUUCCUGUUCAUGUUCUUUGUUUAUUUUUUAAUGGAUUGUCCUGUGUUCCAAAACAUUCAAUGUAUUUUUUCAUUAAGAAUUCUAAAAUUUUUCUAAGUGAUAUAUAAUUUUUCUCUUCUAAUAUUUGACUUUUAAUUCAUAUACAGUUGUUGUACUAGUGGUCCCCACUAUCUAUUUUAUAUAGGUUUUGAUUACCAGCAAAAUGAGAGGAAAAGACAAAAAUAGUAUUCAAUUAAGGAAGCCAACUGAUUAAGAAAGUACAAAGUUCUUUCUCAUUUGUCAAUAAUAGCCACACUUUUUUGGGUAUCGAAAUAUAUUUAAAAAGGAAACAUUACAUCUCAUAAAAAUAAUUUCAAUUUUAAAUAAAUCUGUGAAAAGGAAACAACAAAAUUCCUUGAAAAUUAUUCUAGAUACAAAGAGGAGCUUCAUUGCCCAGCGCGGUGGUUCACGCCUGUAAUUCCAGCACUUUGGGAGGCUGAGGCAGGUGGAUCAUGAGGUCAGCAGUUUGAGACCAGCCUGACCAACAUGGUGAAAGGCUGACUUUACUAGAAAUACAAAAAUUAGCUGGGCGUGGUGGCGCAUGCCUGUAAUCCCAGCUCCUAGCGGGGCUGAGGCAGGAUAAUUGCUUGAACUCGGGAGGCAGAGGUUGCAGUGAGCCAAGAUCAUGCCACUGCACUCCAGCCUGGGCGGCAAAGUGAGACUUCAUCUAAAAACAAAAACCAAAAACCAAAAAACAAACAAAAGAGCUUUAUUAAAAUAAAUCUGUAAGUUGUUUUAAAACACAAAAACAAUUACGACUACCAUGUUCAUUAAACAUUAUUUUGAGAUUUAAUCUAAAAUCAUGGCUUUGACCAGGUAUCAAAUAAAAACCAAAAGUGUGUGAGUUUAUUAUUAUUUUUUUCUUUCCAGCUUUUAUUUUAGGUUCAGAGAGUAUACGGGCAGGUUUGUUACAUGGGUAAAUUGCACGUCGCUGGGGUUUGAUGCACAAAUUAUUUCAUCACUAGGGUAGUGAGCUAAUUUACAUUCCCACUAGCAGUGUGUAAGUGUCCCUUUUCUCUGUAACCUCACUGGCAUCUGUUAUUUUUUGACUUUUUAAUAUUAGACAUUCUGACUUCUGUGAGAUGGUCUCAUUGUGGUUUUGAUUUCAUUUCUCUAAUGAUUAUUGAUAUGGAGCAUUUUUUCCAUAUGCUUGUUGGACACGUUUAUGUCUUUUUUGAGAAGACACAUGAGCAUGUGUCCAUUGCUCAUUUUUCAGUGAGGUUGUUGUUUGUUUUUGCUUGUUAAUUUGUUUAAGUUCCUUACAGAUUCUGGAUAUUAGACCUUUAUUGGAUGCAUAGUUGACAAAAAUUUUCUCCCAUUCUGUAAGUUGUCUGUUUACUCUGUUGAUAGUUUCCUUUGCUGUGCAGAAGUUCUUUAGUUUAACAAGGUCCCACUUGUCAAUUUUUGCUUUUGUUGCAAUUGCUUUUGAGGACUUAGUCAUAAAUUAUAUCCCAAGGCCAGUGUUCAAAAUGGUGUUUCCUAUUUUAUUGUAUGGUUUUUGUAUCUCAAUUUUAUUCAGCUCAAUGCUCGUUUUGGUUGUUUCUUUUCUUUUGCUAGAUUUGGAGUUAGUUUACUCUUGUUUUUAUGAAGACGUAUAUGCACACAAACUAGAAAACAUAGAAGAAAUGGGUUUUCUUCUGGAAAGAUACUAUGUCCUAAGAUUCAACCCGGAAGGAAAGAAGCCCUGAAGAGACCAAUAACAAGUUCCAAAAUUAAAUCAGUAAUUAAAAGCCUACCACCAAAAAAAGCUCACAAUCUUCAAACAUUCUUAUAGUUUGAGGUCUUUCAGGUAAAUCUUUGAUCACUGGAGUUAAUUUUUGUACAUGGUUAAAAAUAGGGGUCCAGUUUUGUUCUUCUGCACAUGACUAGCCAGCUACCUCAGCACCAUUUAUUGAGUGGGGAGUCCUUUCCCCAUUGCUUAUUUUUGUCAACUUCGUUGAAGAUAAGAUGGCUGCAGGUGUGUGGCUUUAUUUUGGUAGCACGAUGUCUCCAGCAAACUUUUGCUUAGGAUUGCCUUAGGUAUUCAGGCAUUUUUUAGUUCUAUAUGAAUUUUAGAAUUAUUUUUUCUAAUUCUGUGAAAAAAUGUUAUUGAUAAUUUGAUAGAAAUUGCAUUGAAUCUGUAAAUUGCUUUAGGUAGUAUGGCCAUUUAAAACAUAUUGAUUUAUUUCUAUCCAUGAGCAUGGAAUGUUUUCCAGUUUCUUUAUGUUGCCUCUUAUUUCUUUCAGCAGUUUUAUAAUUCUAAUUGUAGAGAUUUUUCACCUCCAUAGUUAGCUGUAUUCCCAGGUAUUUUAUUCUUUUUGUGGCUAUUGUGAAUAGGAUUGCACUCUUGAUUUGCUCUCAGCUUGAACAUUAUUGGUGUAUGGAAAUGCUACUGAUUUUUAUACAUCAAUUAGUAUGCUGAAAUUUGGCUGAAGAUGUUUAUCAGAUCUAGGAGACUUUGGGGAGACUAUGGGGUUUCCUAGGUAUAAAAUCGUAUCAUCUGUGAAGAGAGAUAGUUUGACUUUCAAUCUUCUAUUUGAAUGCCUUUUACUUCUUUCUCCUGCCUGAUUGCUGUAGCUAGGACUUCCAGAACUACGCUGAAUGGGAGUGGUGAAAAUGGGCAUCUUUAUGUUGUUUUAGUUUUCUAGGGGAAUGCUUCAAGCUUUUGCCCAAUCUAGACGAUGUUGGCUGUGGGUUUAUCAUAGGUGUCUCUUAUUAUUUGGAGGUGUAUAUCCCUUCAAUACCUGGUUUGUUGGAAGUUUUUAACAUGAAGAGGUGUUGAAUUUUAUUGAAAGACUUUUCCACAUCUAUUGAGAUAAUCAUGUGGUUUUUGUUUUUAGUUCGCUUAUGUGAGGAAUCACAUUUAUUGAUUUGUGUAUGUUAAACCAAUCUUCCAUCCCAGGAAUAAAAACUACUUUAUCAUGAUGAACUCGCUUUUUCAUGUGCUGCUGGAUUUGGUUUGCUAGUAUUUUGUUGAAGAUUUUUGCAUGUAUAUUCAUCAGGAAUAUUGGCCUAAAGUUUUCUUUUUUACUGUGUCUCUGCUAGAUUUUGAUAUCAGAAUGAUGCUGUUCUCAUAGAAUGAGCUAGGCAGGAGUCCUUCCUCCUUGAUUUAUUGAAAUAUUUUCAGUAGGAUUAGUACCAGCUCUUCUUUAUUUGUUUGUAGAAUUUGGCUGUGAAUCUGUCUGGUCCAGAGCUUUUUUUGGUGAUAGGCUUUUAACUACUGAUUUGAUAUUGGACCUUGUUAUUGGUCUCUUCAGGGUUUCUUUCCUCCCUGUUUGAAUCUUAGGACACAGCCUGUGUCCAGAAGAAAACCCAUUUCUUCUGUGUUUUCUAGUUUGUGUGCAUAUAUGUGUUCAUAAAAACAAGAGUAAACCAACUCCAAAUUUAGCAAAAGAAACAACCAAAACUGUCUUUGAACAGAAUAAAAUUGAGAUACAAAAACCCAUACAAUUAAAAGUCAAUGAAACCAAAAGUCUGUUCUUUGAAAGAAGAGAUAAAAUUGAUAGACCACUAGCUGGACUAAUAAAGAACAAAAGAGAAGACCCAAAUAAACAUAAUCAAAAAUGACAAAGGAGAUAUUACUACUGACGCCACAGUUGAUUUUUAUUGUUUGUUUAAAAUGUACGCUAGUAAUUUUUCAUUAAUGGUGUGUGUGUGUGUGUGUGUGUUUUAGCGUAAGUAUGUAAAUUUCCAUUUUUUGACCAGUUUUUUAUGUACCUUUUCAGUUAAUACUUGUUGGGUUUUAGAACAUCAAGGCACCCUGUAAAUGUCAGCCUUUGUGUGCUGCCUGAUAGCUAAUUUAUGUACCUGACAUUUCUGGUGGACUGUGGCCAAAGAAUGAGUAAACUAUCAUUAAAAAGUACACGAAAUGUAAACAUAUGGAGUACAGUGCGAAUUUAAUCUCUCCUUUCAUUGCGUUUAGGACAAAAGGAAAUGUCUGUCAAGUAUCAGGCUAUAAACACUACAUAGAAAAGUCUAGCAAAUACUGAAAUUGAUUUCUGGGUGUAGGGUUCGGAGUUUGGAUAGAGAGUGUUAAAACUUUCACAGAGAAAUAUAAAGAAUAAAACCAAACAUAUUUUCACUGUAAGUGUUUAUUCAGAAACUCAAAUUUGGACAUUACCAAUUGCUCAUUUUCUCUUUUUGUGAGCUCCUGCUAUGGAUCUAGUCCCAAAGUAAUGUUGCCUAACUUUUCAGAUAGUGCAAAACUACUUUCUACCUUCACUAACAAUAAUUAAAUAAAAAUUUAAAAUGCAAGGAAGCAACAUUCUUCAGUUAUCAGCUUGGAAAUUUUCAAAACAUCUCAUGACACCAGGUUCUGGUAGGUUAUAGGGCAGCUAGAACUUUGAACAAGUUAAUACAACUAUAAAUUGAUACAACCAUUUUGAAGAGGCAUCUAGAAAAAAUUAUCAAAAUAAGAAUUUAUAUAUUUUCUCCUGAUAUAUGAACUUAUUGUCAUAUGAGAGAAGGCAUAUUUAUUUAUAGGUACAUUAGUAAGUGUAUCAACUAUUUUAUUCAAAGUCCCUGUAAAAAUUAUAUGAACAACAGAGGGAUUCCCUUUUAUAAAUUAUAAAAAAGUGAGAAAAAUCCAUGAAAAAUGUUUAGAACAGGCAAAAAAUUAUUUCUGUUAGAUUUCCAUAAACUACUAGCAGAAUUAUUUCAUAUUCCAAAAGAUGUAAUACAUUUCACAAUCUUCAAACCUUUCUUCCCAGUGCUUUACCAAUUACACAGAGCACAAAAAAGACUGUGUGCUCAAGAUCUUGGGUCUCUUAUUCUUUACACCCAUAGAGUUGAAUUUCCUUUCCCAUCUGGUCAAACACACAAAGGAGGUGGCCAUAGUCUCUACAAGAGCCUUGUCUCAUCUCCCUCUUCCUUGUGGACCUCCUUGUACCCAAACUACUUCCAUUCACCUCUAAUAAUUGUGUUUAGAUAGCAUUCCCCUUGGAAGGGAAAACAUAAGUUGCUCACAUUAGGGCACAUCCUUCCAAAAAAAAAGAGGGAGAUGUGGAAAUUGUAGAGUUUCUAUGAUGUCAUAAAGCUGCUUAGAGUCUUCAUAAGGGAGAAAAGCUCUCUAGCAUGGUUGACAAACGCAACUGAGAAUUUGAGUAAAUUAGGAUAAUGCGUGAAUUGGCAAAAUUGUUCUGAUUGUGUGUAAUGAAGGAGAAGCUUAGGGUACAAGUUUUAUUGGAUUAACUGGAAACAGCUUCUACACUCUAGAUAUUUAUAGUAAAAUCUUGUUUAUAGACCAGAAAGGGGCAUACGCAGGAUGUGGGCAUCUGGCCAGCUGCCCCUAUUGCUCCAGAGGCACUAUUGUGGGACUGUUAGAAGGGGAUGACUUCUGCCUGACCUUUCUUAUUUUCCAAAAAAGGCUACCUCUGUUUUCUGC